rnacentral:rRNA from 1 species
AUUGAACGCUGGCGGCAGGCCUAACACAUGCAAGUCGAGCGGAUGAAGAGAGCUUGCUCUCUGAUUCAGCGGCGGACGGGUGAGUAAUGCCUAGGAAUCUGCCUGGUAGUGGGGGACAACGUUUCGAAAGGAACGCUAAUACCGCAUACGUCCUACGGGAGAAAGCAGGGGACCUUCGGGCCUUGCGCUAUCAGAUGAGCCUAGGUCGGAUUAGCUAGUAGGUGAGGUAAAGGCUCACCUAGGCGACGAUCCGUAACUGGUCUGAGAGGAUGAUCAGUCACACGGGAACUGAGACACGGUCCAGACUCCUACGGGAGGCAGCAGUGGGGAAUAUUGGAGAAUGGGCGAAAGCCUGAUCCAGCCAUGCCGCGUGUGUGAAGAAGGUCUUCGGAUUGUAAGGCACUUUAAGUUGGGAGGAAGGGCAGUAAGUUAAUACCUUGCUGUUUUGACGUUACCAACAGAAUAAGCACCGGCUAACUUCGUGCCAGCCGCCGCCGUAAGAC